rnacentral:rRNA from 1 species
UACGAAGGGGGCUAGCGUUGUUCGGAAUUACUGGGCGUAAAGCGCACGUAGGCGGAUAUUUAAGUCAGGGGUGAAAUCCCAGAGCUCAACUCUGGAACUGCCUUUGAUACUGGGUAUCUUGAGUAUGGAAGAGGUAAGUGGAAUUGCGAGUGUAGAGGUGAAAUUCGUAGAUAUUCGCAGGAACACCAGUGGCGAAGGCGGCUUACUGGUCCAUAACUGACGCUGAGGUGCGAAAGCGUGGGGAGCGAACAGG